AUCGAAUUUUACAGUCUGUAAGGGGUUAUUCGGAAAUUUGCCCACGAAAGUAAAUCUGGAAGAUUCGGUUUCUUCCGUCUUCCACUCUUCCACUUCUCUGAUAUAUUUUCGUGUGGAUUAGGGUCGGGCUUUACGAUUCCGAACAAUACCAUUCGAUUGACAAAAGUUUCAUCAGUAUUUUUGCAGAAUCAUCCUUCAUUCUGCGUAAAGGAGAUGAUGUCGACUCCAACUACAUUGAGGGACCUGCUAUGACUCAGCUGGCGUAAUUAAUUCUAAUUUGCAGAGGUUUUGUCCCAAGUUAUGUAAAACCUAUGAUGACAGUGUGUUGGAUGGUCAUUAGUUGCAUUUUGGAGGAGGUUUUAUGAGUUUUUUUUUUCUUUUCUGAAAAAUUGGCUCAUCCAAAAACUAAAAGAAAGCAAUUGAUUAUAUUAAAUAUGAAAUCCAAUUUUUGUGUGUGUUGCUCUGUUCUGCAUUUUCCUCAUUUUCACCCAAACAAUAGAUGCAAUUUCAGAGGAUGGAGUGAAGGAUGGUGGUGGCGAAGAAGGUGCUGCAAGGAUCGGCGCCGCCGAGCUGCGUGCGGCGGUGAUUUUGAUUAAGAGACCCCUGGGUUAUGCUUUCAUUGAUUUUGAUUUGUUGCUUGUAUCAGAAAUGAAUCUUGCGAUGGCGAAAGAUGUAAAUGAGAGUAAUUGUGUAAUUGAUUUUUUUUAUUUGUUUUAGUGAAUUAUGAUAUUGAUGUUCUUGUA